GACAGAGGUGCCAAGCGUUAGGCGGAAUCACUGGGCUUAAAGCGUGUGUAGGCGGAUGGGUAAGUACCUUGUGAAAUCCCACGGCUCAACCGUGGAACUGCUCGGUAUACUGCUCGUCUUGAGCCAACUAGGGGCGACCGGAACAAACGGUGGAGCGGUGAAAUGCGUAGAUAUCGUUUGGAACGCCGAUGGUGAAAACAGGUCGCUGGGGUUGUGCUGACGCUGAGACACGAAAGCCAGGGGAGCGAACGGG
rnacentral:rRNA from 1 species